GGAUCCAGACUUUGAUUAUGGCUCAGGAUGAACGCUAGCUACAGGCUUAACACAUGCAAGUCGAGGGGCAGCGGGAUUGAAGCUUGCUUCAAUUGCCGGCGACCGGCGCACGGGUGAGUAACGCGUAUCCAACCUUCCGUACACUCAGGGAUAGCCUUUCGAAAGAAAGAUUAAUACCUGAUAGUAUCUUAAGCACACAUGUAAUUAAGAUUAAAGAUUUAUCGGUGUACGAUGGGGAUGCGUUCCAUUAGGUAGUAGGCGGGGUAACGGCCCACCUAGCCAACGAUGGAUAGGGGUUCUGAGAGGAAGGUCCCCCACAUUGGAACUGAGACACGGUCCAAACUCCUACGGGAGGCAGCAGUGAGGAAUAUUGGUCAAUGGACGAGAGUCUGAACCAGCCAAGUAGCGUGAAGGAUGAAGGUCCUACGGAUUGUAAACUUCUUUUAUAAGGGAAUAAACCCUCCCACGUGUGGGAGCUUGUAUGUACCUUAUGAAUAAGCAUCGGCUAACUCCGUGCCAGCAGCCGCGGUAAUACGGAGGAUGCGAGCGUUAUCCGGAUUUAUUGGGUUUAAAGGGAGCGCAGACGGGUCGUUAAGUCAGCUGUGAAAGUUUGGGGCUCAACCUUAAAAUUGCAGUUGAUACUGGCGUCCUUGAGUGCGGUUGAGGUGUGCGGAAUUCGUGGUGUAGCGGUGAAAUGCCUAGAUAUCACGAAGAACUCCGAUUGCGAAGGCAGCACACUAAUCCGUAACUGACGUUCAUGCUCGAACGUGUGGGUAUCAAACAGGAUUAGAUACCCUGGUAGUCCACACGGUAAACGAUGGAUACUCGCUGUUGGCGAUAUACUGUCAGCGGCUUAGCGAAAGCGUUAAGUAUCCCACCUGGGGAGUACGCCGGCAACGGUGCAACUCAAAGGAAUUGACGG
rnacentral:rRNA from 1 species